rnacentral:pre_miRNA from 1 species
AAAAAGACAAACCCUGGGUUUUCAUAUCCAAUGUUUGAUUGUCCGUCUUAUAUGAUUUUUUUUAAAUUAGUAUUUUCAUUGUUGUUAGAUGAUAAAACAUGAUUAACACUUUAUGCAUGACUUGUCUUUUUAAUUUUUUUUAUAAUUUUUUUAAAUAAGACGGACGGUCAAACGUUGGACACGAAAACACAUGGUUUGUCUUUUU